rnacentral:rRNA from 1 species
GAUGAACGCUGGCGGCGUGCCUAACACAUGCAAGUCGAGCGAACAGACGAGGCGCUUGCUCCUCUGACGUUAGCGGAGGACGGGUGAGUAACACGUGGAUCCUCCACCUAUCAGUCUGGGAUCACUUCGGGAAAGCGGCGCUAAUACCGGAUAAUAUAUUGAACCGCAUGGUUCAAUAGUGAAAUACGGUUUUGCUGUAACUUAUCGCGGCAUACGGGCGGCUUUAGGUAGUUGGUAGGGUAAAGGCUUACCAAGGCAAGCAUGCGUGGACGAGGUGUGAGGCUGGUCGCCGACACGAGAGCUGAGACACGGACCAGGCUCCUGCGGUAGGCAGCAGUAGGGUAUCGUACGCAAUAGGCGAAAGCUUGACGGAGCAACGGCACGUGAGUGAUGAAGGUCUUCGGAGCGUAAUACUCUGUUAUGAGUGAUGAACAGAUUUGUAAGUAACUGUGCACGUCUUGACGGUACCGGAUCAGAAAGCCACGGCUAACUACGUG